AUAAGAGGUCCCGCCUGCCCUGUGACUGUAAGUUUAACGGCCGCGGUAUUUUGACCGUGCAAAGGUAGCGCAAUCACUUGUCUUUUAAAUGAAGACCUGUAUGAAUGGCAUAACGAGGGCUUAACUGUCUCCUUUUUCCAGUCAAUGAAAUUGAUCUCCCCGUGCAGAAGCGGGGAUACUGACAUAAGACGAGAAGACCCUAUGGAGCUUUAGACACCAGGACAGCCCAUGUUAAGCACCCCCUNAACAAAGGACAAAACUAAUUGGCCCCUGCCCUAAUGUCUUUGGUUGGGGCGACCGCGGAGAAACAAAAAACCUCCAUGUGGACCGGGAGCACACUACUCCUACAACCCAGAGCUACAACUCCAAGAAACAGAAUUUCUGACCAACAAGAUCCGGCACACAGCCGAUCAACGGACCGAGUUACCCUAGGGAUAACAGCGCAAUCCUCUUUUAGAGCCCAUAUCGACAAGAGGGUUUACGACCUCGAUGUUGGAUCAGGACAUCCUAAUGGU
rnacentral:rRNA from 1 species